AGUGGGGAAUUUUGGACAAUGGGCGCAAGCCUGAUCCAGCAAUGCCGCGUGAGUGAAGAAGGCCUUCGGGUUGUAAAGCUCUUUUGUCAGGGAAGAAACGGUAGGGGCUAAUAUCCCUUGCUAAUGACGGUACCUGAAGAAUAAGCACCGGCUAACUACGUGCCAGCAGCCGCGGUAAUACGUAGGGUGCAAGCGUUAAUCGGAAUUACUGGGCGUAAAGCGUGCGCAGGCGGUUUUGUAAGUCUGUCGUGAAAGCCCCGGGCUCAACCUGGGAAUUGCGAUGGAGACUGCAAGGCUUGAAUCUGGCAGAGGGGGGUAGAAUUCCACGUGUAGCAGUGAAAUGCGUAGAGAUGUGGAGGAACACCGAUGGCGAAGGCAGCCCCCUGGGUCAAGAUUGACGCUCAUGCACGAAAGCGUGGGGAGCAAA
rnacentral:rRNA from 1 species